AAAGAAUUAGUUAAAGUAUAACAUGAGCUUGUCAAGCUUGGGUUGCCUUGUGGUAUUCUUUU
rnacentral:tRNA from 1 species